CCUACGGGAGGCAGCAGUGGGGAAUAUUGCACAAUGGGCGCAAGCCUGACGCAGCGAUGCCGCGUGUAGGAUGAAGGUCUUCGGGUCGUAAAGCACUUUCAGCAGGGAGGAAGGGUCACUGUUCUAAUCCUCUGUGAAUUGACGUUACCUGCAAAAGAAGCACCGGCUAACUCCGUGCCAGCAGCCGCGGUAAUACGGAGGGUGCAAGCGUUAAUCGGAAUUACUGGGCGUAAAGCGCUCGCAGGCGGUAUGUCAAGUCAGGGGUGAAAUCCCCGGGCUCAACGUGGGAACGGCAUUUGAAACUGGCAAACUGGAGUGUGGGAGAGGAGAGGAGAAUUCCAGGUGUAGGGGUGAAAGCUGUAGAUAGCUGGAGGAACACCAGUGGCGAAGGCGACCCCCUGGCACAUAACUGACGCUGAGGUGCGAAAGCGUGGGUAGCAAACAGGAUUAGAUACCCGUGUAGUC
rnacentral:rRNA from 1 species